UUACUGUAAGAAUAAGCACCGGCUAAUUCCGUGCCAGCAGCCGCGGUAAUACGGAAGGUGCAAGCGUUAUCCGGUUUUAUUGGGUUUAAAGGGUGCGUAGGCGGCUUAUUAAGUCAGUUGUGAAAUCCUAGUGCUUAACGCUAGAACUGCAAUUGAUACUAUUAGGCUUGAGUUAAGAAUAGGUAAGUAGAAUUUAUGGUGUAGUAGUGAAAUGCUUAGAUAUCAUAAGGAAUACCAAUAGCGUAGGCAGCUUACUGGUCUUUAACUGACGCUGAGGCACGAAAGCGUGGGGAGCAAACAGGAUUAGAUACCCUGGUAGUCCACGCCGUAAACGAUGAUCACUCGGUAUACAUAAAUUUAUGUGUGUCUAAGCGAAAGCGUUAGGUGAUC
rnacentral:rRNA from 1 species